UGAAUACGAGAUGCUACGGCGUCGAAGCAGUCUAUGUCAUACUUCCAAGAAAAGCUCGCACUGUCAUAAACAAAUAAUGCCUGUACCAUAACCGACACAGGUGGGUAGGUAGAGUAUACUAAGGGGCGCGAGAUAACUCUCUCUAAGGAACUCGGCAAAAUGACUCCGUAACUUCGGGAGAAGGAGUGCCUUAUUUAUAAGGUUGCAAUAACAAGAUCCAAGCAACUGUUUAUCAAAAACACAGGUCUCCGCUAAGUCGUAAGACGAUGUAUGGGGGCUGACGCCUGCCCAGUGCCAGAAGGUUUAAGAAGUUGGUUAGCAUUCGCGAAGCUGAUAACUGAAGCCCUGGUGAACGGCGGCCGUAACAAUAACGGUCCUAAGGUAGCGAAAUUCCUUGUCGGGUAGGUUCCGACCCGCACGAAAGGCGUAAUGAUUUGGAUACUGUCUCGGAGAGGGGCUCGGUGAAAUAGACUUGUCUGUGAAGAUGCGGACUACCUGCACCAGGACAGAAAGACCCUAUGAAGCUUUACUGUAACUUGAGAUUGAAAUUGGACUUUACUUGCGCAGUAUAGGUGGGAGGCGUUGAUAAUAUUCUUGCGGGAUUAUUUGAGCCAUCAGUGAGAUACCACUCUUGUAAUGUUAGAUUUCUAACUUUGUAUCAUUAUCUGGUCAAAGGACAGUUUCAGGCGGGCAGUUUGACUGGGGCGGUCGCCUCCUAAACGGUAACGGAGGCGCACAAAGGUUUCCUCUGAACGGGUAGAAAUCGUAUCUAGAGUGUAAAGGCAUAAGGAAGCUUGACUGUGAGACCUACAAGUCGAGCAGGGACGAAAGUCGGUCUUAGUGAUCUGACGGUGCUGAGUGGAAAGGCCGUCACUCAACGGAUAAAAGUUACUCUAGGAUAACAGGCUGAUCUCCCCCAAGAGUUCACAUCGACGGGGAGGUUUGGCACCUCGAUGUCGGCUCAUCGCAUCCUGGGGCGGUAGUACGUCCCAAGGGUUGGGCUGUUCGCCCAUGAAAGCGGUACGCGAGCUGGGUUCAGAACGUCGUGAGACAGUUCGGUCCAUAUCCGGUGUAGGCGUUAGAAUAUUGAGAGGAGCCUUCUUUAGUACGAGAGGACCGAGAAGGACAUACCUCUGGUGUACCUGUUACCGUGCCAACGGUAAACGCUGGGUAGCUAUGUAUGGAGUGGAUAACCGCUGAAAGCAUCUAAGUGGGAAGCCCACCUCAAGAUAAG
rnacentral:rRNA from 1 species